rnacentral:rRNA from 1 species
AUCUAUGGCCAUGCCACUCUGAACAUACCCGAUCUCGUCUGAUUUCAGAAGCUAAGCAGUGUCAAGUCUGGUUAGUACUUGAAUGGGAGACCACCUAGGAAGACCAGGUGCUAUAUGCU